GAAACAAGAAAAGAGAGGAAAAAGAGAGCAUUCACCCCCCCCCCCUCCAGCCUCACAAUGCCCAAGCAUGAAGCCGUGAGUCAGGUGGUGGAUCAGCCCCCUCGCUGCUGCCAGCCACGGUGGUUGAAGAGCUUCAGCUAGGGACACCAGCGGGGACUGCUCACAUAUGUUGAGCACCUGUGGGCAGGCACUCUCCUAAGCACUUGACAUUAUUAACUCAUUUAUUCCUGGUGACAACUGUUGGAGGUAAGUUUAAUCAUUGGGCUCAUUUCACAGAGUAGACAGUGGUACAAAAGGGGUAAGCCCCUUGCCCAGCGUCCCCCAGCUAAGAAGAGACGGAGCCAGGAUUCAAAUCCCAGAAGCCAGGUCCCAGAUCCUGUGCCUCCCCACUGCCCACUGCCUCUAUGAGUGAUGUUCAGUGUGCACUGUGCCUGCAGGAGGGCAGGAGAAAUCUGCGGCCACACGGUCAGAGCCUCUGCCAGGCCCAGACUGCCCUUCACUAAUGUAGCCCACAGGCCUGGCAAGUGGCUCCUCCUACCCCAGCUCUGCUCUCUGACCACGAGGACGUGGGGUCAUAGGAUGCCCUAACGCUCACCACCUCACCAAGCUAGCCUUGAGCCCCCAGCACCCCUAGGGUCUCCACCUCUCGGCAGCCCCAGCCCCUCACUCAGCAGGUGCAGCAGCGAGAGGAGGCCCCAGAAGCACUGGGAAGCUGCGGGAGACAGGAAGCCACCAAGGCCCCAGUGCCUGGAACAGAAUGCGGAGCCACCAGCCAGAACAUCCCUGGAGAGAGCAGGGGAUUUAGUCCCCAGAAGCGAAUUUUUCUAGGACAGACGCCUGCCAGACCCCACCCUGAAGAAUGGGCCGGAUGCUCAGAUGCCAAGGCAAAGGGACAGCAGGCAGGGAGCUCGCCAGAGCCUGGCCACCUCUCCUCGGCGUGGGAACUCUCUCCUGACCCCACGACCCCCUCCUCUCAGCAUAUCAGACUUUUCCAGUGGGACAAGGACUUGAGGCCUGACCCCGUCCCUCACUAGCUGUAUGACUCCCAGGGCCUCAGUUUGCCAGCUCUGCAGCAAUGGGCCCUUCCAGGGCUGGCACUCCACAGUACUACAGUUUUGUUGGUCUUCAAAGCCUUCAAACUAGUGGUCCCCCACAGGGAUACUAUUCUGCAUUCCCGCUCCUCCCCCCUCCCCCACGUGCGCACACACACACACACACAUAGUGCACCUGCUCCUCCCCCUGGAAGCCCCCACUGCCCACCCGCCCCUCUUCUAAAAGCUCCUCCCUCCCCCCCCCCCACCAUGGUGCACCUGCCCACCUGCCUAUCAAACCAUAGCUGUCAACUCCCUCAAGGGCUUGCCAAGUAACCGACC
rnacentral:lncRNA from 1 species